rnacentral:tRNA from 1 species
GUUGCCAAGAUGGCACACACAAUGCCUGAGGACA